rnacentral:rRNA from 1 species
GACGUAGGGCGCGAGCGUUGUCCGGAUUUAUUGGGCGUAAAGAGCUCGUAGGCGGCUCGUUGCGUCGGCUGUGAAAACCCGCAGCUCAACUGCAGGCUUGCGGUCGAUACGGGCAGGCUGGAGUUCGGUAGGGGAGACUGGAAUUCCUGGUGUAGCGGUGAAAUGCGCAGAUAUCAGGAGGAACACCGGUGGCGAAGGCGGGUCUCUGGGCCGAUACUGACGCUAAGGAGCGAAAGCGUGGGGAGCGAACAGG